rnacentral:lncRNA from 1 species
UGCAAAUCAAAGUAUUUAUUCUUGCAAAAGGCAUUCACCUGCAGUCUGAGGAUGACCUAGUAUAAGGCUAGAGUUUGAAUGUGUAUGUACAUUUGAAUGACCAUCUCCCACCCUAUUUCCCUGUUCUCUGCUCUUCGCAGCCUUUCUGUCAGGCCCCAAUUCUGUCUAAAGCUCUGUUCCUAUCCCAAGCUGAAACACCUGUGUCUUCUUUGUGUGCUCUGCCCUCUUCCACCUUUCCCUGCAUCAGCUUUAUCCCAUUAUGGCAGAAUCUGGAGACUCCAUCAUUUCUGAAUCUCACACAUGCCCAUCCUCUCCAUUCGCACUGCCCUUCCCCUAAUUUAUGCUAGACUGUGACCAUUGCCUCCUGGUUGUGCUGGCUUCAGCUCUCUCUUUUCUAAUUUGUCCUCUGUCUAUUCAGUUAUUUUCCAGAAGUGCAGUUUUGAUAUGUGGUCACUCCAUUUUGUACAACGCUUCAAUGUCUCUUGCUGGCUACUCAGAAUCCUGGUGCUUUGCUAGCAAGCUGACCUUGGCACUGGAUCUCCUAUCCAAGAACUUGCAUCUACAGAUGGACUUGGUACCCAGCUUUGUGAUAGAAGCCAUGGAGAUAAAUCUAAUUACCUGGAGCUCAAAGGGACUUUGGAAAGGCCUAAAAUCUUCAUUUGUCUUUGAGGUCAUCGUUUGCUAAACUUCAUGGAUGUUAAUUAUUUUUUGGCAGGCAAGAAAUACCAAAGAAUUUGGGAUCCUCUUAAGAAGACAUUGCUUUAUAUUUCAUAAUAUCCCUUAAGUGACUUGUGCAUGACAGGUGCUCAGUAAAUUCUUUCCAAUAGAUUGAAAUAAAUUCUGAACAGUUUGAGUUUGAUAUUUAUAU